rnacentral:rRNA from 1 species
UGAGGAACAUGACCUUCGGCGGGGGAUAGCCGGCCCAACGGCCGGGUAAUACCGCGUACGACCACAUGGGGACAUCCCUGAGUGGUGAAAGCAGCAAUGCGCCGAUGGAGUGCCUCGCGGCCUAUCAGCUAGUUGGUGAGGUAACGGCUCACCAAGGCGACGACGGGUAGCUGGUCUGAGAGGAUGGCCAGCCACAUUGGGACUGAGACACGGCCCAGACCUNUACGGGGAGG